UAUUACUUAUUUGCAAAUUAUCUUUCAUCUUUAAUUAUUUCAGGAAUCUUACAAUUAUAGUUAAAAUCACGUUAAAGUUAUUGUUUUGUUAAUACAUAUUUAAAGCUGCGCUCUCACAGAUUGAGCGUUUUGACAACUUUUCUAUUUUAUUGUCUUGAAACGAGCCAAUUUUUGCGAAAAUCCUUAUAAACCAGUUAUAUAAGACAGCUGACAAAAUAUUAGAUCUCAGAUUUUAAUAAAUAAGUUCCAAAAUUGAUGUUUUAUGCAUUUUUCAUUAACUGUUACUAACGGUCUAAGCCAUAAAUAUUAAUUUUCGGAAAAAUGAAAAUCUACGAUCUGAUUUUUUUGUCAGCAAUCUUCUAUCAUUGGUUUACAUAUAUCUAUGCAAAACAUUGCCCUUUCCAAGACAAAAAAUAAAAAAAAGUUGCAAAAAUGGUAAAUCUGUGAGAGUGCAGCUUUAAAAUUCCAUUACAAGAUGCUUUUUUGGAAAUUUGGUAAAAUUGUUUUACAGAUGAUUCAGCUGAUUGGUGAUUAAGCCAUAGUUUUUUUUCUGGGGUUGACACCUUUACUUAAAAUAGUAAGAUUUCUUACCUGCCUCAAAUGAAUAUCAUGGAUGUAUCGGUCAAUAUUUUUUUAAUAAAGGUGUUAUUAAAUUUGAAUAAAAAUGAGCAUAUAAUGAUGUUAUUCUAAAAGAAUUGGUGAUUCUCAGGUCAUUUAUAUGUAUAUUUUUUAUUUUAAAUAACACUUAUGUAUUUAUAUGUGAAUAUAUUUUACUGCAGAAACGAAACAAGUCCAUCAUCUUUGGUGCUGCACCAUACUGCCAAAACAGCUACAUGUUCAUCGUUUGCAGUUAUGUCAAUUUACCUCCAACAUAGUGUUUCCUGCAAUGUCCCAGGGGGCUGCCAUGAUUCCAAAAAGUACAACACCAACUGCAGCAAAAGUGACAAGAGUUUCCAAGAUUCCAUCUACAAGCAACUUGAAAAGACUUCUUAAAUGCCAGAGUGAGCUCUAUGAGCAAAUAUUACAUCAACAAAAACUGACAAUUGACUGUCUCCUUUAUUACAAUUUAUUUCAUGAAUGAUAACUUAAAUAAAAUGUGACUCAGCAACUGUUUUAAAUCAACAAACAUUCUAACAUAAACCUCUUAAAAGUCUUAUAGUAGAAUCAUAUACCUGGAAGUCUUUGAUUAUUUUAUCUACUUAAAAAACUCACAAUCCACUUAAAUAUUGCUGACACUUGAAGCUUUUCAUAUUUUAUUCACUAUUGCAUUUAAUAAAUCUUUAUUUACCUGUCAACCUAUUCAUAUUCAAGUAUAAAUCUAAUAUUAAAAUACAUAUGGAAAAGCACUUUCAUUUAAAGUGACAUCUAUCAAACAUUGUAAUCACAAAAAAGGGGCUCAUAAUCAUACAUUUUAUGAUAUGGUAUUUUUUUACCAAUAGCUGAAUGUGUAAAUUGGUUAUUGUUUAGAGAGAUAAUAUGUCAAUUUAUUUGUUUUGUAAAUGUGUUUUUAAAUUGUUAUUUAUACUGUCAACACUAUUUUAACAUAUUUAUGAUUGUCAGCCUUCAUGUACUGUUUUGUUCAUUGUUAUAAUCAUCUUCUCCAUAAGUAAUGUCAGUGAUUAUCAAAAUGAUACCGCAUCAAAUUCAUGUAUAAUCAUUUUUAAAGGGACUUGUUCAUGUUUUAUAUGGUUAGACAUUGAUUUUUUUAUUUCCUAUGAAAUGUGAACAAAAUGCUUGUAGCAAUGAUAAAACACUACAAAAGUUUAAAUAAGCUCAGAAAAUAUGGCAUAAAAUGCUUUAUUUUGCCAAAGUCAGGCUAUUUAAAAUUAAAUCAUUUUAGGCUUAGAUUUACUAUUAAAAUGUUGUUCAUAUGAUUAUAGCAGUUGCUUUUUGGUCUUUCUUCAUAAAAGUUGGUAAAAUAAUUCAAUUUCAGCAAUUUGAAAAUAAAUAAUCUAUUAACAGUCCCUUUCUGAUAAUGAUUGCUACUAUUGUGUUGUUGUUUUUCAAGUUAAACUUGAUGUAAAAUGUCAAUUUUAAAUUCACACAAAUAAAGUUUUCACUUAUUUCACAGAUAGAUAUGUUUUACCUUUGUCUUUUCACUUUGUUGAAAUAAUAAUAAUGAUACAUCUAUGGAAUUCAAAUAUUAGCACAAACACUUCAUGUUAUUGAGAUAUUGAGAUGCACACUUUCUAUUUUGUAUUGAAUAAUUAAUAAAAUCCCUAGAAUGACAUUUUA